rnacentral:lncRNA from 1 species
AAUUUAAACAGAUUUCUCAGUUAAUGCUCACUAUGCUGUAGGAAAAAAUCCAGUCUGCCAAUGUUCUAGGUUACCCCGCCUCCCUGUGCUUCAGUCAAGAGGGCAUCAGAAAGGUACCAGAGCUCACCAAUAGCAAGUGUGUGUGGGUGUGGGUGUGGGUGUGGAUAUGGGUGGAUAUGGGUGGGUGUGGGUGUGGGUGUGGGUGUAGGUGUGUGGAUGUGUCUGGGUAGGUGUGUGUGGGGGUGUGGGUGUGUGGGUGUGGGUGUGUCUGGGUAGGUGUGUGUGGGUGUGGGUGGGUGUGGGUGUGGUUGUGUGUGUGUGGGUGGGUGUGGGUGUGGUUGUGUGUGUGUGGGUGGGUGUGUGGGUGGGUGUGGGUGGGUGUGUGGGGUGUGGGGUGUGGGUGUGUGGGUGGGUGUGUGGGUGUGGGUGUGGUUGUGUGUGUGUGGGUGUGGGGUGUGUGUGUGGGUGUGGGUGGGUGUGGGGUGUGUGGGUGUGGGUGGGUGUGGGAGUGUGUGGGUGUGGGUGUGUGGGUGGGUGUGUGGGUGUGGGGUGUGUCUGGAGUGUGUGUGAGUGUGGGGUGUGUGUGUGUGCUGUGGGUGUGUGUGGGUGGGGGUAGGGGUGGGUGUAUCCACUGUGUUCCUAGGCACUAGGGACACUACGGGGAGCAAAAUGCCAAAUUCUUUGUUCUCAGGCAGCUCAUAUUUUAGUAGGGACUUGAAGAAAUAAAUAAAUGCAUGUGCUAUAUGGUGAUAGGCAGGUGUUAAAAAGGAACAUAGGAUAAGGGGCUAUAGUGAAAGUAGUGCAGGGAGAAUCAUUUUAGAAGAGGGGGUCGGGGAAGCCACACUGAGGUGGUGGUGACUGGGAGCAGAGGUAUGAAUGCAGUAAGGGACUCAGCCAGCUGGCUGUCUGGGCUAUGUGGGGAAUACAUUCCUACAGGGCAGAAGACAUGAUAGGUGCAAAGGCCCUGAGGUGUGAGGGCGUCCCCCCACCCUGGGUUUUCCACAGACAGUCUUCAUGGAAAGCAGUGGGGCUCAUGGGACCUUCAAGCCAAGGGGGAGAGUCAGGAUCCUGGGUUGCCACGUCUGGGACAAAGGACCUCCCAAUCUCACACCGUGUUAGCCAGGAUGGUCUCGAUCUCCUGACCUCGUGAUCCACCCACCUUGGCCUCCCAAAGUGCUGGGAUUACAGGUGUGAGCCACUGCGCCUGGCCUCAACAUUAUUAAUCAUCAGAAAAAUGCAAAUAAAAACUGUGAGAUAUCAUCUAACCCCAGUUAAAAUGGCUCUUAGCCAAAAGAUAGACAAUAAAAAGUGCUCGUGAGGAUGUGGAGAAAGGAAACCUCAUAUACUGCUGGUGGGAAUGUAAAUUAGUACAGCCACUAUGGAGAAAAGUAUGGAAUUUCCUCAAAAAACUACAAAUAGAACUACCAUGUGAUCCCACUGUUAGAUAUAUACCCCAAAGAAAAGGAUCAGUAUAUUGAAGAGAUACCUGCACUCCCACGUUUAUUACAGCACUAUUCACAAUAGCCGAGAUUGGGAAUCAACCUAUGUGUCUAACUACAGAUGAAUGAAUUUUUUAAGAUGUGGUGUAUAUAUAGAAGGGGAUAUUAUUCAUCCAUAAAAUCAUGAAAUCCUGUCAUUUGCAACAGUAUGGAUGGAACUGGAGGACACUAUGUUAAGUGAAAUAAGCUAGGCACAGAAAGACAAAUUUUGCAAUGUCUCACCCAUAUGUGGGUGCUAAAAAUUAAAGCAAUUGAACUCAUGGACAUAUACAGCAGAAUGAUGGUUACCAGAGGCUGAGAAGGGUAACAGGGAGUAGAGGGAAAAGUAGGGCUGGUUAAUGGAUAGGAAAACAUAAUUAGAUAGAAUAAAAAAUAUCUAGUAUGUGAUAGCACAAUAGGGUGACUAUAGUCAACAAUAAUUUAGUGUUUUCUUUUUCUUUCUUUCUUUCUUUUCUUUUCUUUUUUUUUUUUUUGAGACAGAGUCUGGCUCUGUCUCCCAGGCUGGAGUGCGGUGGCGCGAUCUCGGCUCACUGCAAGCUCCGCCUCCCGGGUUCACGCCAUUCUCCUGCCUCAGCCUCCCGAGUAGCUGGGACUACAGGCGCCCCCCACCACGCUCGGCUAAUUUUUUGUAUUUUUAGUAAAGACAGGGUUUCACUGUGUUAGACAGGAUGGUCUGGAUCUCCUUACCUCGUGAUCUGCCCACCUCAGCCUCCCAAAGUGCUGGGAUUACAGGCCUGAGCCACCGCGCCCCGCUGCUACUGUGUAUUUUUAAAUAACUGAAAGUGUCGAAAUGGAAUAUUCCUACCACAAAAAAAAAUGAUUAAUGUUUGAGACAAUUACCCCAAUUACCUCAAUAUGAUUAUUACAAAUUGUAGGCCUAUAUCAAAAUAUCACAUGUACCCCAUAAAUAUAUGGACUUACUAUUUACCCAUAAAAAUUAAAAAUUAAAAAAUGGAGAGAAUAGUCACCUUGAGUCCAAUUACCUGACGCUUCAGAACCACCAACUGCUGCAUCUGACUUAUUCUAGUAUCCACUUUCUUCCCCCGUUGCUGAAAUUUACAGUUGAAAUAAAGUGAAUCUGCUUAAUUUUAUGCCUGUUUUGCUUGAGUCAGUUACCAAUGUGGAUUAUUUCUUUCCAAUGGGAAGCUAUUUGAGUGCACAUAAUUACUACACCACAUUUCUUAUGUGGCCUCAGG